rnacentral:rRNA from 1 species
AACCUGCCCUUGACUCUGGGAUAAGCCUGGGAAACUGGGUCUAAUACUGGAUACGACCUUCCCACGCAUGUGGUGUUGGUGGAAAGCUUUUGUGGUUUUGGAUGGACUCGCGGCCUAUCAGCUUGUUGGUGGGGUAAUGGCCUACCAAGGCGACGACGGGUAGCCGGCCUGAGAGGGUGGACGGCCACACUGGGACUGAGACACGGCCCAGACUCCUACGGGAGGCAGCAGUGGGGAAUAUUGCACAAUGGGCGCAAGCCUGAUGCAGCGACGCCGCGUGAGGGAUGAAGGCCUUCGGGUUGUAAACCUCUUUCAGUAGGGAAGAAGCGAAAGUGACGGUACCUGCAGAAGAAGCGCCGGCUAACUACGUGCCAGCAGCCGCGGUAAUACGUAGGGCGCAAGCGUUAUCCGGAAUUAUUGGGCGUAAAGAGCUCGUAGGCGGUUUGUCGCGUCUGCCGUGAAAGUCCGGGGCUUACUCCGGAUCUGCGGUGGGUACGGGCAGACUUGAGUGAUGUAGGGGAGACUGGAAUUCCUGGUGUAGCGGUGAAAUGCGCAGAUAUCAGGAGGAACACCGAUGGCGAAGGCAGGUCUCUGGGCUUAACUGACGCUGAGGAGCG